GGGCAUGUGGCGGAAGUGGCAGACGCGCCAGACUUAGGAUCUGGUGCCGCUGAGGCGUGUGGGUUCAAGUCCCACCAUGCCCA
rnacentral:tRNA from 3 species